rnacentral:rRNA from 1 species
AGUGGCGGACGGGUGAGUAACACAUAGGAAUCUACCCAAUGGAGGGGGAUAGCUCGAGGAAACUCGAAUUAAUACCGCAUAAUCUCCACGGAGUAAAGAGGGCUUCGCUCUUGCCAUCGGAUGAGCCUAUGCAGGAUUAGCUUGUUGGUGAGGUAAAAGCUCACCAAGGCAACGAUCCUUAGCUGGUUUGAGAGGAUGACCAGCCACAUCGGGACUGAGACACGGCCCGGACUUCUACGGAAGGCAGCAGUAGGGAAUAUUGGACAAUGAGCGAAAGCUUGAUCCAGCCAUGCCGCGUGUGCGAUGACGGCCUUCGGGUUGUAAAGCACUUUAGGUAACGAGGAAAAGUUAGGUGUUAAUACCAUCUAACCUUGACGUUAAUUACAGAAUAAGCACCGGCUAAAUCCGUGCCAGCAGCCGCGGUAUUACGGAUGGUGCAAGCGUUAAUCGGAAUUACUGGGCGUAAAGCGCGCGUAGGUGGCAUAUUAAGUUAGAUGUGAAAUCCCGAGGCUUAACCUCGGAACUGCAUCUAAAACUAAUAAGCUAGAGAACUAGAGAGGAAAGUAGAAUUCUUAGUGUAGCGGUGGAAUGCGUAGAUAUUAAGAGGAAUACCAAUGGCGAAGGC